UUCAGACUAAAUGUCUAACAGGCUUAAUGCCGGUGAAAUAUUUCAGACUAUAUGUCUAGCAGGCUAAGUGCCGGUGUACUGAAUCAGGCUUUAAGCCUAGCAGGCUAAAUGCCGGUGAAUCUGUUUUAAAGCAUGUGAUUAAGUGUACAAUUAUAUGAUUUUGGAUAUAUUUAAUUGAUAAGUAUAUUUAUAUAUACAUUCAACUAAGUGCGUUUGAUGAUUAUAUAUAUUCGGUUUAUGCAAUUGUAAAAUAUAUAUAUGCUUUGGGAUUUUGUAUUUGAUAAAUAUAUAUACUUAUAAAUAUUUGGUACGCAUACUUGAUUUGUAACUACA
rnacentral:lncRNA from 1 species